UCCGUAGGGUGCAAGCGUUGUCCGGAAUUAUUGGGCGUAAAGAGCUCGUAGGCGGUUUGUCGCGUCGGCUGUGAAAACCUGGGGCUCAACCCCGGGCCUGCAGCCGAUACGGGCAAACUAGAAUUCGGUAGGGGAGACUGGAAUUCCUGGUGUAGCGGUGAAAUGCGCAGAUAUCAGGAGGAACACCGGUGGCGAAGGCGGGUCUCUGGGCAAUAACUGACGCUGAGGAGCGAAAGCGUGGGGAGCGAACAGG
rnacentral:rRNA from 1 species